AUCCGGGUUUUGGUUUGUGGAGAUCCCUCCCGCUACACCAUCUUUCAUAUUGUUUAACACCAGUUUGUUUAUUUAUUUAUUUAUUUGAAAUUAGUUGUUGAAAUUAAUAAAAGGUUAUAACAUUGAUCUGUCAUAUUGUAACGGCCACUUUAAUAUUGUAAAUGUUUGUGUUACUGUGCCUUUAGGAGAGUUCUGCUGAUGUAUGCACUUAGACAGCUGAGUGCGCAUGCGCCAGACAGAGCUAGCGCGAAGUUGCCUUCUUAGUUGAGCAAACCAACGUUUUUCUUUUGUUUUGUGACGAGAACCGAGUGUUUUGUUUCUCCUUCGUUUUUACUCCGUUUAUAUGUGUGUAUGCUGGAUGUGAUUGCUGAAGAGGAUCAAAUACAAAGGCUUUUUUGGGAUAACUUGCUGUGUGCCUCGAGUGUUUAUUCCCUUUUUAAGUCACCUUGUUUUUCUCCGGGUCAAACCUAACACUCCGACCACGUUACAAUAUGUAUGACUUUAUUCCUAAAUGUGUUAGGAGAAGAACUUAAAACUCACCCUCCCUCAGAAUGAACUUUCGCCAAUGAUGUUAUCUACAACAUCACGCACACACACACACACACACACACACACACACACCCCUGAGCGGACACGUACCCCCACAUGUAGGUAAAAAAAAAAGAGAAUUUCCGAAAAUUUGGUUAUGUCUUCAAGUCUUUGGAAAUCCAACAUCAGAACAGAACUUCUAUAUCUCCUUCUAAACAUUAAGAGAGCAUUGCAUUUUUAUCAGAACAAGACCAGCAUAUGUGACACGAUUGUCUAUGAAAACGUAUCAAACAAAACGAGGUACUCCAGGACAGUUGUAUUGAGAUUAUUUACGACAGCAAGUAUCCCGGAAUGUACAUGCGAACCUAAGAACGGUGGAACAUCAUGGAUCAGAUGUUUUGUAUGCUGGUGCUAACGUACUGUAGUUGGCUGUGGUGUCUUCGAAGGAGAAGAAAAUAUAAGAAAAAAUUUGAAUUUCUAAUGAUGUUGGAUUUCCAAAGCCUUGAAGACAUAACCAAAUUUUCGGAAAUUCUCUUUUUUUUUUUUUACCUACAUGUGGGGGUGAUUGUAUAGCUCACUAUUUGAAGACGGUUCACUCUGAAAGUCAAACACUUGAUAAAAAAAAAAAUAACAAGAUCCAAAUCAAUCAGCACAUUCAGAGACUUUGACCAAUAAAUAUAUCAAUACUUCACUUGGAGGCUGUGGUGGGACCACAUUGAAACCAUGAAGAUCGUUUUGGACUGCAAUUAAAUUUCAAUAAAAAAAUAAAAUGACUUCCCUAGUUACACAGUUGCACUUUUUUUGCACCAUAUAGCCACAUGACUCACCAUCAUUACCUCACCAUCUCUUCCAACGAAUGCUGUAUGCUGACAACAGUGCCACCUGCUGACCACAAAUAGAAAGUGCCUCAUUCAAGUAGAUGAGAACCACGCUGAGGGACGGGAGCUGCUCCGGAUACACCUUUGUCGAACACCUAUCAGAAAUGUGAUGGUUAGCAGGUGAGAGGAAACAGGAGAACCCAGAGGAACCCCAUACAGACAACAGGAGAAACUCCAGAGACUGUAUCCCGAGCUCAGGAUGGGACAUGAUCCUACUCCGGUCCUGUAAGGCAGCAACACUGUACCACUCUGUACUGUUCCACUAAACACUCUUACACUCUUUUAAUUGCACAAAUGUAGAAUAAAGUGGAUCUUUUAGUUAAGAACCAUUUACUGAAUUUUUUUUUAUAGAAUGAAAAAUGCUUGUCUGUGGCAUCAGAGCGAAUACUCUGAUUUGGUUCUUCAUGACACCUUUACGUUUAUGGCAUUUGGCAGACAUCCUUAUCCAGAGCGACUUACACUUUAUCUAAUUUUUUUAUACAACUGAGAGUUAAGGGCCUUGCUCAGGGGCCCCAAAAGUGGCAGCUUGGUAGGGAUUCAAACUGGCAACCUUCCCACUUUCGCAUGGUGAUCCAACACCGUAACCACAAGGCUACCGCAUCUCCCAAAGCGUAUCAGAAUGUACAACAUUUACAGCAUUUGACAGACGUUCUUAUCCAGAGCGACCUACAUUUUUAUCUCAUUUCAUUCAGUUGAGGAUUGAGGACCUUAAACACUAAGCUCCCACAUCCACCUUUAUUUUUAAGAGCGUAUGCUUAACUCAGGUCAGUGCAUUUCAGACUAUAGUAAAUUGGCCCUAGAUACAAACAUGUGUGUGUGUGUGUG